rnacentral:rRNA from 1 species
GUGGGGAAUAUUGGACAAUGGGCGCAAGCCUGAUCCAGCCAUGCCGCGUGAGUGAUGAAGGCCCUAGGGUUGUAAAGCUCUUUCACCGGAGAAGAUAAUGACGGUAUCCGGAGAAGAAGCCCCGGCUAACUUCGUGCCAGCAGCCGCGGUAAUACGAAGGGGGCUAGCGUUGUCCGGAAUUACUGGGCGUAAAGCGCACGUAGGCGGAUAUUUAAGUCAGGGGUGAAAUCCCGGAGCUCAACUCCGGAACUGCCUUUGAUACUGGGUAUCUCGAGUAUGGAAGAGGUGAGUGGAAUUCCGAGUGUAGAGGUGAAAUUCGUAGAUAUUCGGAAGAACACCAGUGGCGAAGGCGGCUCACUGGACGACUGUUGACGCUGAGGUGCGAAAGCGUGGGGAGCAAACAGGAUUAGAUACCCGAGUAGUCC